GACAAACCAAAUCAAAAUCAGAACCCAGACU
rnacentral:piRNA from 1 species